rnacentral:miRNA from 1 species
UGCUUCACCCUAUGGUGUUGGAGCGGUUUUAUCUCAUGAGAUAAAACCGCUCCAACACCAUAGGGUGAAG